GAUGAACGCUGGCGGCGUGCCUAACACAUGCAAGUCGAGCGAUUCUCUUCGGAGAAGAGCGGCGGACGGGUGAGUAACGCGUGGGUAACCUGCCCUGUACACACGGAUAACAUACCGAAAGGUAUGCUAAUACGAGAUAAUAUGCUUUUAUCGCAUGGUAGAAGUAUCAAAGCUCCGGCGGUACAGGAUGGACCCGCGUCUGAUUAGCUAGUUGGUAAGGUAACGGCUUACCAAGGUGACGAUCAGUAGCCGACCUGAGAGGGUGAUCGGCCACAUUGGAACUGAGACACGGUCCAAACUCCUACGGGAGGCAGCAGUGGGGAAUAUUGCACAAUGGGCGAAAGCCUGAUGCAGCAACGCCGCGUGAGCGAUGAAGG
rnacentral:rRNA from 1 species